rnacentral:rRNA from 1 species
AGUCUCAGUUCGGAUUGUAGGCUGCAACUCGCCUACAUGAAGUCGGAAUCGCUAGUAAUCGCGGAUCAGCACGCCGCGGUGAAUACGUUCCCGGGCCUUGUACACACCGCCCGUCACACCACGAGAGUUUGUAACACCCGAAGUCGGUGAGGUAACCUAUUAGGAGCCAGCCGCCUAAGGUGGGAUAGAUGAUUGGGGUGAAGUCGUAACAAGGUAAC